rnacentral:rRNA from 1 species
GGACCUACGGGACGCAGCAGUGGGGAAUAUUGCGCAAUGGGGGAAACCCUGACGCAGCAACGCCACGUGAGUGAAGACGUAUCUCGGUAUGUAAAGCUCUAUCAGCGGGGAAGAAGGAAGACGGUACCCGACUAAGAAGCCCCGGCUAACUACGUGCCAGCAGCCGCGGUAAUACGUAGGGGGCGAGCGUUAUCCGGAUUUACUGGGUGUAAAGGGAGCGUAGACGGCGUCGCAAGUCUGAAGUGAAAGCCCGUGGCUCAACCGCGGAACCGCUGUGGAAACUGCGUGGCUGUAGUGCUGGAGAG